CUUACUGCAACUACACCAGCGUGCGCCGUGUUACUGUCUGGCUUUCCGGGGCGAGGCGCGGGGUGUUUCACCCGAGCAGCUCCCGACGUCUGUCCUUCCCAGCCGCGAACCAUUCAGCGCCACCCGGGCCGGUUACGCACCGUAGCGCGGACGUUCACCGGGAUCGUCUGUCGGUGUCCAAAACAGACGGUGGGAGGCACGCGCACAAAUGGACCGGUCUAACGGCUACGACUCCCGUCUACAGAUGCUGGCAACACCGCACAUCUCUCACCCUCUUCCGAACAGAGCCUAACUCUAUGUCGUCUUUGGAGACAUGAAAAGUCGAGGUAGAUUUCUUCCUUGAAUAGAUGCCAGAUGACCAGCGACUCUUUCGCCGUCUCUUCCUUUGGACUGAAGGAAGAAGAGGAUGCUUUGUAAAAGCCUUGAAGCGCUUAUCCUGGGACAGACGAUUUGUGACAUCACGCAAGAAGAGGCGCAGCUCCCGCAGGGUGUCUUCCUCUUGUUCUGCCAGUCUUCGGGCCUCCUGCUCUGUCAGCUGGCGUGGAGGAGGAGCGGUGGCGACCGCAAGCACUUCUACAGUUUGGUGCACUAUAAUAGAGAGUCGACAAUUUUUCUUUUCAAUAAAUUC